rnacentral:rRNA from 1 species
GGACGAACGCUGGCGGCGUGCUUAACACAUGCAAGUCGAACGGAAAGACCCUGCUUUUGUGGGGUGCUCGAGUGGCGAACGGGUGAGUAACACGUGAGUAACCUGCCCUUGACUUUGGGAUAACUUCAGGAAACUGGGGCUAAUACCGGAUAGGAGCUCCUACUGCAUGGUGGGGGUUGGAAAGUUUCGGCGGUUGGGGAUGGACUCGCGGCUUAUCAGCUUGUUGGUGGGGUAGUGGCUUACCAAGGCUUUGACGGGUAGCCGGCCUGAGAGGGUGACCGGCCACAUUGGGACUGAGAUACGGCCCAGACUCCUACGGGAGGCAGCAGUGGGGAAUAUUGCACAAUGGGCGGAAGCCUGAUGCAGCAACGCCGCGUGCGGGAUGACGGCCUUCGGGUUGUAAACCGCUUUCGCCUGUGACGAAGCGUGAGUGACGGUAAUGGGUAAAGAAGCACCGGCUAACUACGUG